rnacentral:rRNA from 1 species
AGUGAACGCUGGCGGUAGGCCUAACACAUGCAAGUCGAACGGCAGCACAGUAAGAGCUUGCUCUUACGGGUGGCGAGUGGCGGACGUGUGAGGAAUACAUCGGAAUCUACUUUUUCGUGGGGGAUAACGUAGGGAAACUUACGCUAAUACCGCAUCCGACCUACGGGUGAAAGCAUGGGAUCUUCGGACCUUGCGCGAUUGAAUGAGCCGAUGUCGGAUUAGCUAGUUGGCGGGGUAAAGGCCCACCAAGGCGACGAUCCGUAGCUGGUCUGAGAGGAUGAUCAGCCACACUGGAGCUGAGACACGGACAAGACGACUACGGGAGGCAGCAGUGGGGAAUAUUGGACAAUGGGCGCAAGCCUGAUCCAGCCAUACCGCGUGGGUGAAGGAGGCCUUCGGGUUGUAAAGACCUUUUGUUGGGAAAGAAAAGCAGCAGGUUAAUACCCCGCUGUUCUGACGGUACCCAAAGAAUAAGCACCGGCUAACUUCGUG